rnacentral:rRNA from 1 species
UACGUAGGGGGGCUAGCGUUGUCCGGAAUCAUUGGGCGUAAAGCGCGUGUAGGCGGUCCGGUAAGUCCGCUGUGAAAGUCGGGGGCUCAACCCUCGAAUGCCGGUGGAUACUGUCGGGCUAGAGUGCGGAAGAGGAGAGUGGAAUUCCUGGGUGUAGCGGUGGAAUGCGCAGAUAUCAGGAGGAACACCAAUGGCGAAGGCGCUCUCUGGUACGUGACUGACGCUGAGACGCGGAAAGCGUGGGGAGCGAACAGG